GAACGCUAGCGGCAGGCUUAACACAUGCAAGUCGAGGGGCAGCGUGAUGAAGUAGCAAUACGGAUUUGACGGCGACCGGCGCACGGGUGCGUAACGCGUAUGUAACCUACCUUUAACAGGGGGAUAACACUGAGAAAUUGGUACUAAUACCCCAUAACACUUUAGGAGGCAUCUCCUGGGGUUAAAAGUUCCGGCGGUUAAAGAUGGACAUGCGUUGUAUUAGCUAGAUGGUGAGGUAACGGUUCACCAUGGCGACGAUACAUAGGGGGACUGAGAGGUUAACCCCCCACACUGGUACUGAGACACGGACCAGACUCCUACGGGAGGCAGCAGUGAGGAAUAUUGGUCAAUGGACGCAAGUCUGAACCAGCCAUGCCGCGUGCAGGAUGACGGCUCUAUGAGUUGUAAACUGCUUUUGUAUGAGGGUAAUAUCAGGUACGUGUACCUGCUUGAAAGUAUCAUACGAAUAAGGAUCGGCUAACUCCGUG
rnacentral:rRNA from 1 species